rnacentral:tRNA from 1 species
AGCCGCUUGGCCCGGGUCGGGCUCGCCAGCCGCUGUCGCUGGCAGGCGCCGGUUCGAUUUCGGCGCCCGCUC